rnacentral:misc_RNA from 1 species
GAUGAGAACGUAGCGAAAUGCGAUAAGUAGUGUGAAUUGCAGAAUUCAGUGAAUCAUCGAAUCUUUGAACGCACAUUGCGCCUUCUAGUAUUCUGGGAGGCAUGCCUGUUUGAGCGUCAUUAAACCUCUCUCAAGUAUGAUUACUUGGAUGUGAAGGAAGAGUACCUUAAACUUAAGGAGUGUUCUCCUUUGAAAUUGAUUAGCAGAUGGUAAUGUUAUUAAAUCCCUGAUGUUGUAAGAAAUAACAGUGGUUUUGUAGACUAUUAUCUAGCUUUAAAUUAUAAUUUUUAUUAUGGUUGACCUCAAAUCAGGUAAGGAUACCCGCUGAACUUAAGCAUAUCAAUAAGCGGAGGA